CGUUGGAAUGUUAUGACGUUUGUCACCCCAAACGGUGGACUGCAGCUAACAGUCAGGGCGCGGGUUGUCAAGCCCGUAUAGAUCUAUACACAAACACCAUGCUCCCCCUCCAAGGGAUUCUGGUAUAUAAUACAGGACUUGAAAUGUGUACUCGAACGUACAUGAAGUUAGUGUCUCACAAAACCGUGGUAUAAAAACAGAUCUACUUGUUAAAAUGUUACGUUUGUUCUUGUAUACGAAAGUAAACUUCUUGAAAUUCAUGGUUCUAGUACAUAAGAGUUAGAAAUUUGUUCGUAAAACUAUACCUAUUAUAGUUUUCUAAAAGUGUGUCUUGUUUGUUUAGAAAUACCUAGAAAAGGAAUCACUUGUUUAUGAAAGCAUAGAUUUUUGGUGUAGAGUCUAAGAUAGACAAGAAUAAUCUAAGAAAAGUUUAGUUUAUACAUGCAUUACAACAAAUUUAUAUUUCAAAAGAUAGAAUGCUAUUUUAACAUAUGUUAUAUAUAUGAAAGUUCCUUAAAAUUUUGUAAAUCGCAUGUGAUUUGGAUAUAUAACAGCAUAUAAAAGAGUUCUUUAUGUAACACACGAUAAUACUCGUGUGUUUUACUUGUAAUCCCCCCCUUGAAAGCAUAUAAAAGAAUUUAUAGAAUAUUUAAAAGGUAAAUUAAGGGGUAUGAACUCACUUGAAAGUUUGAAGAUAGCGAGAUGGAAAACCGGGCAGAGUUUCGUCUCGGGAAACGGAUUUUCCUCGGGAUUCUCGGGAAUCUCGGGAGUAAAAUCGACCCUCGGGACUUGAGCAAAAAGACCAGAGCUUCGGGUUUGAACGGGCACGGAAAACGAGGCAAGAUUGUGAGAGAGAGGAGAGAAAUGAGCCCUUUUCUCGGAAGCCCUCGCAUCCUAUUUAUAGGAAGGCUGAACUGCCUCGGUACGCGGGGCGUACGCUCGUACGCAGCGCGUACGCGUACGUCAUGCAUGACCGAAGCCUCGACUGCCUCGGCUUCGGAUGGGACGGGUUGCUGGGGAGGCGGGUCGGAUGGGACGGCGGGUCGGACGGGACAGCGGGUCGGACGGGUCGGACGCUUCGGACGGGUCGGACGCCUCGGAUAGGGCGACGUGGACGAUCAGAGGCCAAGUCUCUCGGGUACGUAGGGCGUACAGGGGUACGCAACGCGUACCUCGGAUGAGGACGCUGACUCCUCUUCGGAUAAGGUCCGAAUUUUGAAUUAAAUAAAUAUAUAAUUUAUUUAAUAAACUUCAAAAAUUUAUAUCUUCUUCAUACGAAAUCCGUUUUCGAUGGUCUUUAUAUCCACGCGUAGGUGAGACUACGCUCUACAACUUUCGUUUAGACUCCGUUGGCAAAUUCCGAAAUUAUUUUUUUAUUAUUUAUAUUAAACUCAUCGUGUUUAAGGAAUUACUUUGAAAAUUCAUAACUUCUUUAUCUGAUGUCGGUUUUUGCCAGAUUUUUUACCGCUGAAAUACCAUUGUCGAGACCUUCGAUUCUCGUUUAGGUCAUUCCGGCCUAAAGUCGCUCGAUCUCCGAUUCGAGUUUUUAGUUGUUUGUUGCUAAGCUGAACUUGGAAAAAUCAUAACUUCGAUAUAUGAAGUCGGAUUUGGGCGUUCUUUUUACGUACGAUCAUGGUUUAAAGACAUUUAAACAUACAAGGAAUUUAAAUAGAACUAUUUGUUCAUUUUAUUAUGAAAGUAAAUUUUAUUUACUCAAAAGUGGUUACAAUACUUGACCCAUUUAGGUCAUUACAAGGAGUUGAAAUAUCGGGUUGUCACAAUAUCUAACAAUUUUCACAGUUUCUAUUAGGGGUGUAAGAUAGAGAAAAAUAUUUUUAGAAUUGUUCAUAAUGAAUUCCUAAUUUUCGCCAAUUUUUAUAUUUAUAAUGGACUAAAAACAAGAAAAAUAGUUUUCUCAUCCAAAAUUCAAUAAAAUGUACCAGAAGACCUUAAUAUAUAUUAGAAAUCUAAAUAAAAAAUUUGAUGAUUUUUUCUAUUCAGUAUACUGUUUUUCUCUUAUUUUCUAAGAUUAAAUACACUUAAAUCCACGAUAUUGGAUUCUAGUAGAUAAAGCACCUUUGGGAUUUUUUCCAGAUUGUUUACAUUGUAAGUAAAGUUUAUAAAAGCUUUGGUAAUUUACUUUAACUCUUUAAUAAUUAUUCUCUAAUUAAUGAUUAUUUAAGAGGAUAAAACAAAGAAAAAUAGAAAGACUAAUUCAAAAGUAUAAUUUCUACUUUUCACAGCUUCUACAUGUAUAAUAACAGUGUUACAAAAAGUUUGGGCAAUUUUGGAAAUAGUUUUGUAUUUAUUUCAAUUUAUAUUAGAAUAAAUGAACACAAAUCAUAAAAUCGAGUUAAACAGUUUAAAAAUCGAUUUUUAUAUUUUUCACAGCUUAAGAAUAUUUAAUAACAGUAAUGCAAAAAGUUUGGGAAAUUAUGCAAACUAUUUUCUAAUUAUUUAAAUUUUUUAUAAGAAUAAUUGCACAAAAAUCAUAAAAUUGGGAUAACCAAUUUAGAAAUCCAUUUUUAUAUUUUUCUCAGUUUAAGUAUGUCCAAUGACAGUAUCAUAAAAGGUUUGGGAAUUUUUAGCAUUUGGAUUCUAUUUUUCACAAAUUUAUAUUGUUAUGAAGACUUAAAAUUUUGGAAAAAUAGUUAAUCAUAUCAAAAAUUCAAAGGAAAAUUUAUGGAAGACCUCUACUGUAUUUAGAAUGAAAAUUCAAAGUUUGACAAUUUUUGGAAACUGUUUGAUAAUAUUUUGGCCUUUUAAGAUCUUAAAACACAUUUAAAUGUGUUGAAAUACCUUCAAUUAAUAUUACAAAAAUCUGGAAAUCAAUAUCCAAAAUUGUCUUAAUCACAUGAGUUAAAAAAACUUCACCACCAUCAUCAUCAAAACCGUGAGUAGGUGCAAGUGUUCAUGAUUUUACAAUAGAAUGGAGUAGAAGAAAAAGAAAGUGUAAGAAAAUAACAAAACCUUGAAGGAAAAGUGAAGUCGAAAUCGAUUUUACCUUCAAGAACACUACAAUAUGAUGAAGAUUUCGAGUUUGAGGAGUGUUAUUGGGUUUGUAUUCUGGAAAUUUUUGUGGUUCCUAGAGAGAGGAUGAGAGAAUAGAGUGAAAAUAAAAUGAGGAAGUGUGAAAGAGAAAGUGAUGUAUGGAAAAAUGGAGUAUGGAGGGGAAUUGAUUGAGUGUUUUGGGAAGAGGAGAGAGAGAAAAAGAGAGAGAGAGAGAGAGAGAGAGAGGAAUCCGAAUUUUGAAUGGAGAGAGGGUCUCCCUCUUUUAAAUUUUUUAAAAUAUAAAUUUAUUUUAUAAAAAUAUCAAGUUUUUAUAAAAUAUACACCUUAUCCUAAUUAUCCUUCACAAAACUUUGAUUUUUGGCUUAGAAAAUUAGGUUAAAUAAUAAUGACUUAAAUUUUAUUUCUCCUUGGUUGUAUUCUACUAAAUUGAGUUAUUUUAAAUUGAUAUUAUAUAGUCCAUACCAAAUUUUAUGGAUUCUUAGGUGUUAAAGUUUAUAAAUUUGAGUUUUUAGGGUUUUUAGGGUCAUGAGAUUUCAUAAAUAUUUGGAUAUCAAAAUAAAUUGAAUUAUUUGAGAUUCCACAAAUUUACCAAGGAUUUAUAGACCUCAGAAAACAUUUUAUAUGAUUUAUUGCCCUAUUUUGUUGAUGGGAAUCUGGGAAAAAUCGGAUUUGGUCAAAAAAAGGAGUUUUAGAUAUUUAUUUGGAAAUAAAUCAUUCAUGAACAUAUUUGAAAGCUUUUAACAACAUACUUUGAUGAUCUCACAUCUAAGCUUGAAGAUCAUCACAUUCAUGUUUGUUUGAAGACCAUUCAUGAGUUUGAAAUGUUCAAAAUUCGUUUUUUAAAGAAAACUUUGGAUGGAUGUGGUGAUUUUCCACCAAAACAUGUAGAAAAGUGCAUUUCCUUGAUUUUGACUUAGGUUUAGGUCAUGAGACUUCACCGUUGACAACAUGCAUGUUGUUUUUGGAUGAAAUCCUACCACCAUCAUCAUCAAAACCAUGAGUAGGUGCAAGUGUUCAUGAUUUUACAAUAGAAUGGAGUAGAAGAAAAAGAAAGUGUAAGAAAAUAACAAAGCCUUGAAGGAAAAGUGAAGUCGAAAUCGAUUUUACCUUCAAGAACACUAAAAUACGAUGAGGAUUUCGAGUUUGAGGAGUGUUGUUGGGUUUGUAUUCUAGAAAUUUUCUUGGUUCCUAGAGAGAGGAAGAGAGAAUAGAGAGAAAAUAAAGUGAGGGAGUGUAAGAGAGAAAGUGAUGUAUGGAGAAAUAGAGUGUGGAGGGGAAUUGAUUGAGUGUUUUGCGAUGAGGUGAGAGAGGAGAGAGAGAGAGAGAGAGAGAGAGAGAGAGAGAGAGAAAGAGAGAGAGAGAGAGAGGAAUCUGACUUUGGAAUGGAGAGAGGGUCUCCCUCUUUUAAAUUUUUUAAAAUAUCACUUUAUUUUAUAAAAAUAUCAAGUUUCAAAACUCUUUUCUUGUUAAAAACAAUAAUGUGUAUAAUUAUUCACAACCAGGAAUUUUGAUGUUUUGUAACAAAAACAAUUGUACCAACUGUAAACCUACAAUGUGAAAGCAUGCAUGAUGCUUAUUCAAUAACAACAAAACUACAAUGAAACACUUUAUGCAAGCACUUCAAAUAGUCAACAAAGAAUUGGAAACCCUAGAAAUCCCGGUUUAAGUCCAUCAUGAACUAGGAAUUUCCUUAUUGGGCCUAAUGGGCCAAUAAGCUUCCAAUUUGACUAUUUCGGGCUUAGAACUCUUAGAUGGGCUCUAAUUGGACCCACGUCCAUUUAUUUUAACAUUUUGGGCCAUAAUGGGCCUAGAAUGAAAUAAAAUACCCUAAUUGGAACCAUAUACAUGAAACUUAAUAUUUUGGGCCUUAUAAGCCUAAAAUGAAAUAGUUUAUCUUUAAUGGGCCUUAUUUGGGGCAUAAAAAGUCUAACUAGCCCUAAUGGAUCAUAAAAAUCAUCCCUUGAUUUAUUUUGGGCCAAAAAUCACCUAAUUGGGCCAUAAGAUGGACUUAAGAACAAAAACCCCAAAUUUUCUUUUCUCCUUCUCCUCUUCUCGGCCCAACUACUCAAAAUGGAGGAGAGUUGACUUCCACUUGCCACCUCACAUUUACCCAUUGGAAACCCAUGCAAAAUCUCAUGUUUUCAUGCAUGUGAACUCCAAUGUCUCUCUCUUCUCCUCUCUCUCUAUUUCUCUCGGACGAAGAGACACACCUACACACACAUUUCAUCCAAAUUUAGAAACAAACUCUCUCAAGAAUAUCCUCACUCUUCUUCAACAAAUUCACGAGAUUUAGGAGCUUUUCAAGGAGAUUAUUUAACAAAAAUCAUCAUCUAAGGUAAGUUUAUGUUUAAAUCUAUGAUCUAACUACUUCAUUUCACCCAAAAACCUCCUCGUAAUCUAUUCAAACUCAUGAUCUUACAUCUUAGAACACAUCUAUGACAAAAAUCCACCAAGAAGCUUGCUAGGCCAAGAAAUAGCAUCAAACUUCUUCUAUUCUUCAUCAAAACCGAAACCACAAACUCAAGGUGAGCUUCAUACCUCUUUUUUCGGUUUUUAUAUGUUUUAUGGGGGAGAAUACAAGAAAAUGUGUAGAUCUAUGUGUAUGUGUAUGCUAUGUAUGAUUUUAUGCAUGUAUGUGUGAUUUUAUGUGUUUUUGUGAUGAAUAUGUAACCAAAAGGGAAGUAAUCCCGAGAUCUAUAUCAUAAGUAGGAAAACAAACAUGAUCUAAGUUAUAUUAUUCUAAACAAGUCAAGAACAUUAACUUAUAAGAUAUUGAUAAAGAUAUUUCAACACGAAACCCAUUUUUGGGCUUAAAUCGUCAAAUAAACAAAAGAAUGGGUAAAAAAUUGUCAUUUACGGUUUUCUUAAGGGCCAAAGGUGUCAAAACAGUGACAUCAAAUGUUUUUAUGAAUAUUAUGCACUUCAUAUGUCACACCCCAAACCUGAACGGCGGAAACGUUCGGGGGCGGAUGACUUCAUGUGGUAACGUAACAAUUGAAUACAUAGUAAAGAAAGCAAUACAACCAUCAUAUAUAUAAUUGAAAGUUUACAUUUGUCAAAAGUUACAUGUUCAAAACCCAUUACAAUAUGAUGUAAAAAAUACGAGAUUAAACUGGCGCCGCAGCAUCCCUUCAUCAAAAGCGUAAUGAAUACCUGAAAUUACUGAUUUCCUGGGACAUACAAGUAAUUUUGAAAGAGUAUAUCAGCAUUUAAGCUGGUGAGUUUCAUAAGUAUUUAAGUGACAAUGUUUGUAUGAAAUGAAAUGUUUUGUCUUUGUUUGUUUGUAUUUAGAAAAUCCUAUAUUUUCUACUAGUAUAAAAGUAGCCUUCUCUCAAGACCAAUGUUUGUUUCCAAAAUGUAUGUAAGUGUAAAAUAACCAAUGUGUUUUGAAAACCUUGUAAAUCAAUGCAUUUUUAAUACCCCAUGUGAGUUUUAUAACCAUACUAUUGACUCGGAAUGCCUAUACACAACGUUCUUCAGGCGUUGGAAUGUUAUGACGUUUGUCACCCCAAACGGUGGACUGCAGCUAACAGUCAGGGCGCGGGUUGUCAAGCCCGUAUAGAUCUAUACACAAACACCAUGCUCCCCCUCCAAGGGAUUCUGGUAUAUAAUACAGGACUUGAAAUGUGUACUCGAACGUACAUGAAGUUAGUGUCUCACAAAACCGUGGUAUAAAAACAGAUCUACUUGUUAAAAUGUUACGUUUGUUCUUGUAUACGAAAGUAAACUUCUUGAAAUAUGUGUUUCUAGUACAUAAGAGUUAGAAAUCUGUUCGUAAAACUAUACCUAUUAUAGUUUCCAAAAAGCGUGUCUUGUUUGUUUAGAAAUAUUGAGAAAAGGAAUCACUUGUUUAUGAAAGUAUAGAUUUUUGGUGUAGAGUCUAGGAUAGACAAGAAAAAUCUAAGAACAGUUUAGUUUAUACAUGCAUUACAACAACAUUAUAUUUUAAAAGGUAAAAUGCUAUUGUGACAUAUGUUAUAUAUAUAUAAAAGUUCCUUUAAAUGUUUAUAAAUCGCAUGUGAUUUGAAUAUAUAACAGUAUAUAAAAGAGUUUCUUUAUGUAACACACGAUAAUACUCGUGUGUUUUACUUGUAAUCCCCCCCUUGAAAGCAUAUAAAAGUAUUUAGAAUAAUUAAAAAGGUUGAUUAAGGGGUAUGAAACUCACUUGAAAGUUUUGGAGAUAGCGAGAUGGAAAACCGGGCAGAGUUUCGUCUCGGGAAACGGAUUUUCCUCGGGAUUCUCGGGAAUCUCGGGAGUAAAAUCGACCUUCGGGACUUGAGCCAAAAAGACCAGAGCUUCGGGUUUGAACGGACACGGAAAACGAGGCAAAGUUGAGAGAGAGAGAAGAGAAAUGAACCCUUUCUUUGGAAACCCUCGCAUCCUAUUUAUAGUAAGGCUGGUCUGCCUCGGUACGCGGGGCGUACGCUCGUACGCAGCGCGUACGCGUACGUCAUGCAUGACCGAAGCCUCGACUGCCUCGGUUCGGAUGGGACGGGUUGCUGGGUACGCGGGUCGGAUGGGACGCCGGGUCGGAUGGGACGUCGGGUCGGACGGGUCGGGGCUUCGGACGGGUCGGAUGGGUCGGUUUCUUCGGAUAGCGCGACGUGGACGAUCAGAGGCCAAUCCUCUCGGUUACGCGGGGCGUACAGGGGUACGCAGCGCGUACCUCGGAGGAGGAUGCUGACUCCCCUUCGGAUAAUAUCCGAAUUUUGAAUUAAAUAAAUAAUUAAUUUAUUUAAUAAACUUCAAAAAUUCAUAUCUUCUUCAUACGAACUCCGUUUUCGAUGGUCUUUAUAUCCUCGCGUAGGUGAGACUACGCUCUACAACUUUCGUUUAGACUCCGUCGGCAAAUUCCAAAAUUAUAUUUUUAUUAUUUAUUAAAAACCCAUCGUGUUUAAGGAAUUUCUUUGAAAAUUCAUAACUUCUUUAUCUGAUGUCGGUUUUUGCCAGACUUUUUACCGCUGGAAUACCAUUGUCGAGACCUUCGAUUCUCGUUUAGGUCAUUCCGGCCAAAAGUCGCUCGAUCUCCGAUUCGAGUUUUUAGCUGUCUGUUGCUAAGCCGAACUUGGAAAAAUCAUAACUUCGCUAUAUGAAGUCGGAUUUGGGCGUUCUUUUCACGUACGAUCAUGGUUCAAAGACAUUUAAUCAUAGAAGGAAAUUAAGUAGAACUUAUUUAUACAUUUUAUUAUGAAAGUAACUUUUUAUUAUUCAGAAGUGGUUACAAUACUUGACCCAUUUUGGUCGUUACAAAGAGUUGAAAUAUCGGGUUGUCACAUCAUCCCCCCGUUAGAGAGAAUUUCGUCCCGAAAUUUAAAGUAGUAAAGAUACUAGUGAACAUGAAAGAGAUGAGGGUACUUUUGUUUCAUCUGAUCUUCGCGUUCCCAUGUGAAUUCGGGUCCCCGCUUGGCGUUCCAGCGAACCUUCACGAUGGGUAUGCGACUUUGUUUUGUUUGUUUGACCUCUCGGUCCAUGAUUUCUACUGGUUCUUCCACAAAGUUGAGGCUCUCGUUGAUCUCGAUCUCGUCGAGUGGAAUAACAAGAGUCUCGUCGGACAGACACUUUUUCAAGUUUGAGACGUGGAAGGUUGGAUGGAUGUUACUAAGUUCGCGCGGUAGGUUAAGCUUGUAAGCCACAGGGCCGAUUCUGGCAAGAAUCUCGAAAGGCCCUAUGUAUCUUGGAUUUAGUUUCCCACGCUUUCCAAAUCGUAUUAAACCCUUCCACGGUGAGACCUUUAAUAAGACGUGGUCUCCUACCUGGAAUUCCAAAGGUUUCCUCCUUUGGUCAGCGUAGCUUUUCUGUCGGUCUCUUGAGGCUUUCAAUCGUUCACGAAUCUGAACGAUCUUCUCUGUUGUUUCACGUAUGAUCUCCGGACCGGUGAGAGUGCUUUCAGGAACUCUUCCUCUAGCUAACUGGGUAUCGCCAACUUCAGUCCAGCACAGAGGGGAUCUGCACUUUCGACCAUAGAGGGCUUCAAACGGAGCAGCCUUUAUGCUUGUAUGAUAACUAUUGUUGUAUGAAAAUUCGACAAGGGGUAAAUGAAUAUCCCAUGCCUUUCCAAAGUCAAUCACGCAGGCUCUCAGCAUGUCUUCUAAAGUUUGUAUUGUUCUCUCACUUUGUCCGUCUGUCUGUGGGUGGUAGGCUGUACUCAUGUCUAGCCUAGUUCCCAGGGAACUUUGUAGUGACUGCCAGAAUCUUGAAGUGAAUCUACUAUCUCGAUCGGAGAUAAUGGAUAUCGGAACACCAUGCAGUCGCACUACUUCCCUUAAGUAAGUUCUUGUAAGCUUCUCCAUUUUGUCAGUCUCCUUGAUGGGUAGGAAAUGUGCGGAUUUGGUCAAUCUGUCGACAAUGACCCAUAUGGUAUCGAGUCCACUUGUCGUCUUGGGUAACUUGGUUAUGAAGUCCAUAGUAAUCCGCUCCCAUUUCCAUUCCGGUAUCUCUGGUUGUUGUAGUAGUCCUGACGGUUUCUGAUACUCGACCUUAACCUUAGCGCAAGUAAGACAUUUACUCACGAAGGUAGCAAUUUCUGCUUUCAUGUUAGGCCACCAGUACAGUUUCUUAAGAUCCAGAUACAUUUUAUCUGAACCCGGGUGAACGGAAUAUCUUGAGUUGUGAGCCUCGGUCAUGACUACGUUUCUGAAACCACCAUGAUUUGGGGUCCAGAUUCGGUCCAUGAGAUAGUAGGCUCCGCCACCCUUGACUUCUAAAUUCUUCUCCAUUCCUCGCAGGGAUUCACCCGCCACAUUUUCAGGUUGCAAAGCUUCCAUUUGUGCUUCCUUAAUUUGUGUGGAUAAGUGGGAAUGGAUAGUCAUGGUCAGAGAUUUGACCCUCCGACCAGUGUAUUCCUUUCGACUGAGGGCGUCGGCUACUACGUUGGCCUUGCCAGGAUGAUAACGAAUUUCGCAUUCGUAGUCAUUCAGUAACUCAACCCAUCGUCGUUGUCGCAUGUUGAGUUCCUUCUGAUCGAAAAUGUGUUGAAGGCUCUUGUGAUCGGUGAAUAUAGUACUCUUUGUUCCGUAUAAGUAGUGCCUCCAGAUCUUCAGAGCAAAUACCACUGCUCCUAACUCGAGGUCGUGUGUCGUAUAGUUCACUUCGUGUGUCUUAAGCUGUCGGGAGGCAUAAGCGAUAACCUUCCCUCUCUGCAUAAGAACACAACCAAGUCCUUGAUUUGAAGCAUCGCAAUACACUACGAAGUCUUCUAUCCCUUCGGGGAGGGAUAGUAUCGGUGCGGUGCACAAGGCCUGCUUUAGUGUCUGGAAUGCCUUCUCUUGUUUCGCUUCCCAGUCAAAGGCCACACCUUUCUGGGUUAAUGAAGUAAGAGGUUUCGCAAUGCUCGAAAAGUUCUUUAUGAAUCUGCGAUAGUAGCCAGCUAGACCUAGAAAUUGACGAAUUUCUGUAGGUGUCUUUGGUGCCGACCAGUUCUCAAUAGCCUUAAUUUUGGAGGGGUCCACGUGUAUACCUUUCUCGCUAACAACGUGACCUAAAAAUUCGACUCUUCGAAUCCAAAAUUCGCAUUUAGAGAACUUCGCAUAGAGUUUCUCCGUUCGCAGUGUUUCUAGGACUUUUCGUAGGUGUUGACUAUGCUCUUCCUCACUUCGAGAGUAGAUAAGUAUAUCAUCGAUAAAGACGAUGACGAACUGAUCCAAGUAAGGGCGGCAUACCCUAUUCAUUAGGUCCAUAAAUACUGCUGGUGCAUUGGUUAAUCCGAACGGCAUCACCACGAAUUCGUAGUGUCCAUAACGAGUUCGGAAGGCUGUCUUUGGAAUGUCCCCCUCUAGAACUCGUAAUUGGUGAUAUCCGGAUCGCAGGUCUAUUUUGGAGAAGUAGUUCGCCCCUUGAAGUUGAUCGAAUAGGUCGUCGAUACGGGGUAGAGGAUAGCGGUUCUUGACAGUAAGUUUGUUCAGCUCUCUGUAGUCGAUGCACAUACGGAACGAUCCGUCUUUCUUCUUUACAAACAAGACCGGUGCUCCCCAAGGUGAGAAACUUGGUCUUAUGAAUCCUUUGUGAAGGAGUUCAUUAAGUUGACUGGAAAGUUCCUGCAUCUCUGCUGGUGCAAGACGAUAAGGCGACUUCGCUACUGGGGUAGCUCCUGGAAUUAAGUCGAUUCUGAACUCGACUUGGCGUUGCGGUGGUAAUCCUGGUAGUUCUUCUGGAAAGAUAUCGGGAAAGUCGCGUACUACCGAGAUGCUCUUGAUGUCCUUCAGUUCUUGACUUGUAUCGACGAUGUGCGCUAGGAAUGCUCGACAAUCCUUCCGCAAGCACUUUCGAGCUUGGAUGCACGAAAUGAUGCGAAGGUUUGCACUAGAUUUGUCGCCGUAGAUAACUAAUGUUUCGUUGUUAGGGAGGUUAAGACGGACUGCUUUCUCAAAGCACAUGAUGUCGGCGCGAAGAAGACUCAACCAAUCCAUGCCGACUAUGACGUCGAAACUUUUAAUUUGAACCGGCAUGAGAUUGAUUGGGAAAGAAUGGCCGUCUAAUGUUAACGUACAGCCCAUGUAUAUGCAAUUUGUGUUUUCGGUUUUUCCAUUGGCCAUCUCUACAGUGAAUGAUUUUUCUAACUUGCUAGGUUUAGGUUUAAGUAAAUGAAUAAAGUUUUGACUCACGAAGCUUCUCUCCGCUCCACUAUCGAAUAAUAUGCAUGCGUAUGAAUUAUCGAGAAGGAACGUACCAGCAACUAUAGUUGGGUCAGCUACAGCUUCGUCGUGGCCUAUUGCCAAAACUCGUCCCACACCUCCGGUGCCUGCUGCCUUAGGACAGUUUCUCUUGUAGUGGCCCACCUCGCCACAACCGUAGCAAGCCUGCCCUACACCCGCACCGGGAACUUGAGUGAUCGGCUUUGCGGGUUCCUUGCAGAAACGGGCUGUGUGUCCUUUCCUGCUGCAGUUGGCGCACUGCAUAUCUCGACAAGGUCCAUGGUGGUGGUAAUUGCAUUUGGUGCAUUUUGGGAGGUUACCUAUAUAAGGCUUUGUUGGGUAGGUAUUUGUAGGGGCUGUAGCAGGUACAAUGGCAGCAUUUACUGACACCAGUUGUUUCUUUGCGGAUUCUUGGGAAGACCCACCCUUCCCUUUAAUCCACGCUCUCUUCCUGCCAUUGUUGUUGUUGUUGUUGUUGUUGUUGUUGUUGUUGUUUCCUUUCUGUGGUGCUGGUGCAGAAGUGGUUGAGUUCUGAUGACCUCCGUAGUCGAUCAGAGAUUGUGCCAGUUCCUUAGCACUUUCAAAGGUGUCAGGUUUAGAAGCUAACACGCUUGAUCGCAUUUGGGGCGUCAGUCCCCAGAUGUACCUUUCUAUCUUCUUGCUCUCGGGAGCAAUCAUAUCUGGACAAAGGAUUGCCAGUUCGCAGAAUCUGUUGGUAUAAGUAGCGAUGUCGGUACCCACCAUUCCGAGAGUCCAUAGCUCGUGUUCAAGCUUUUGAAUUUCUCCCCGUGGGCAGUAUUCUCUCAUCAUCAUGGCCUUCAAGCUCUCCCAGCUUAUGGAGUUUGCCACGAUUAGGGUAAGUACUUUAACGUGGCCAUUCCACCAAGUUAAAGCUUUAUCGAGAAGGGUGAAAGUUGCAAAUUUGACCUUGCUGUGCUCGGGGCAGGAGCAGAUUUCAAAGACUGCCUCCGUCCUUUCAAUCCACUGCCUCAGGGCCAUCACACCACCAGUACCAUAAAACAUCCGGGGCUUGGCAUUAGUGAAGUCCUUAUAGGUGCAUUCUCGAGGUGGUCCAUGACUCUCGCCAUGGUUGGAUAGGUGUGUGCCAGAUCCCGAGCCAUUAGUACUCGAGUUAUUGAUCUGUGACAUGGCAGCUGCCACCGCUGCGGUGACUGCUGCUUGAAACAUUACAGCAUCAAAUUGGGGUGGUGGAGGUGGUGGUGGUAUAGGUGCUUCCUCACCGUUGUUUCGCCUUGGAUUCCUACGCGGAGGCAUCCUUCAACUAUAGAUUGAAAAGACAAGGAUAAGAAUUUCAUAGAAUGGAAAAUGUAUGUGUCUCAUGAACUAAAUCGCUAUAGUUCAACAACAGAUGAUAGUAUGAGUCUUAAAAUAGAAGAAUGAAAGUUAUUUGUAAGACUGAAGGUAUGAAACAAGUAUUUGGGUUCACAAAGACCAUUCAAGGUUCGAACGAAAUACUCAACAUAGUAGUAAUAGUGCCACUUAUAUUAAUAUAAAAGUUGUUACAACGAUCAUGAAAAUUUGACCCCUAUAAGGGUCUCCGAUUACAAAGUUCGAGAAAUUUAAAGACUUUUAGCCGAGGUCCUAAGCUAUAACAAAAUUUGAGUCCUUGACAAGCACUACUUGCGUCGAAGGUUGCGCUUGGAGCUUGACUCCGUAUCUGAUUGCUUUGACUCCAUUAGACGCCUAUCGAAAGCGGCUUGUUGUUCCCUUAGUUCGGCGAGGGCUGCAAUCAUUUGCGCUUGAAACGCUUCGGUUUGGAAUUGAGCGUUGUCUUGCAUCUUGUCCAGCCUACGGAUGUCAGAAGUGUGAACCUGCACUUCCACGUUGAUAUCCCGGAGUCGACUAGCUUGUACUCCAGACUGAUAGGACUGAUUGGCUAACUUACCCACCAUUACCGGGAGUGCUCGAUCAGCCGAACCUCCGCCGCGGACAUCAUAGAAGUCCCGGCACAUGCCGUAGGGAGGGCGUAGGUUUUGCUGUUGGCUCCAAUGGUGGAGGUGACUUCCCCAGACGGGAGUCGGUCCUUGAAAGUUCCUUACGAAGACGGGAGGUUGAAUGGGUGGUGGAUCGAUAACUUCCGGCUCUGAGUCGGUACCGGAGUCAUCACCCACUUCUAUGGGUUCCUCGUCCUCUUCGGGAUCAUCUUCGAUCCAUCCUCCGUUGCCUUGGUUGGGAAAGUAGGGGUCGCCAGGGUGGUGAAAUCCAGCCAUUUGACUGUACGAGAAAUAGGGUUAUAAGAAUUGAAUAAAGUCGGAACAUGUAAAACAUGUAAGUUAAACUAGUUUAGAUAGCAAAUACUCCUAUAGUAUUUAAAUUCUUGUGUUUGAUUCUUGUAAUGGUUUGGUAAGUUUUGACUUGUUGCUUACUACGAUCAUUCCUCGAUAUACGUUGGUCCAAUCUUGGGCAAAUAUAGUUGAUCACGCUAUAUUUGUCCAAAAUCUGAUUACAUAUAUCGAGUCUCAAUCGUAGUGUCAACUUGUCUAAAUACUUGUAUAGUUGUAUAACAUGAAAAUAGUUUGUGGUAUGCAUGUAAUUGUACUUAAAUGAACUAUCAAUUUAAGUUGAACGAAAUGCUGCUUAAGUGUAAAAAGAAAAUUUGUUUUGUCAGAGAGUAUUAGUCCCUUAAGCAUUUAUAGUUUGUAUAUCUUAUGUGGUUCGAUAUACUUAGUUCACUAUAAACAUUGCUCUGAUACCAAUCUGUCACACCCCCAAACCUGAACGGCGGAAACGUUCGGGGGCGGAUGACUUCAUGUGGUAACGUAACAAAUGAAUACAUAGUAAAGAAAGCAAUACAACCAUCAUAUAUAUAAUUGAAAGUUUACAUUUGUCAAAAGUUACAUGUUCAAAACCAAUUACAAUAUGAUGUCAAAAUACGAGAUUAAACUGGCGCCGCAGCAUCCCUUCAUCAAAAGCGAAAUGAAUACCUGAAAUUACUGAUUUCCUGGGACAUACAAGUAAUUUUGAAAGAGUAGAUCAGCAUUUAAGCUGGUGAAUUUCAUAAGUAUUUAAGUGACAAUGUUUGAAUGAAAUGAAAUGUUUUAUCUUUGUUUGUUUGUGUUUAGAAAAUCCUAUAUUUUCUACUAGUAUAAAAGUAGCCUUCACUCAAGACCAAUGUUUGUUUCCAAAAUGUAUGUAAGUGUAAAAUAACCAAUGAGUUUGAAAACCUUGUAAAUCAAUGCAUUUUUAAUACCCCUUGUGAGUUUUAUAACCAUACUAUUGACUCGGAAUGCCUAUACACAACGUUCUUCAGGCGUUGGAAUGUUAUGACGUUUGUCACCCCAAACGGUGGACUGCAGCUAACAGUCAGGGCGCGGGUUGUCAAGCCCGUAUAGAUCUAUACACAAACACCAUGCUCCCCCUCCAAGGGAUUCUGGUAUAUAAUACAGGACUUGAAAUGUGUACUCGAACGUACAUGAAGUUAGUGUCUCACAAAACCGUGGUAUAAAAACAGAUCUACUUGUUAAAAUGUUACGUUUGUUCUUGUAUACGAAAGUAAACUUCUUGAAAUUCAUGUUUCUAGUACAUAAGAGUUAGAAAUUUGUUCGUAAAACUAUACCUAUUAUAGUUUUCUAAAAGUGUGUCUUGUUUGUUUAGAAAUACCUAGAAAAGGAAUCAUUUGUUUAUGAAAGCAUAGAUUUUUGGUGUAGAGUCUAAGAUAGACAAGUAUAAUCUAAGAAAAGUUUAGUUUAUACAUGCAUUACAACAAAUUUAUAUUUCAAAAGAUAGAAUGCUAUUUUAACAUAUGUUAUAUAUAUGAAAGUUCCUUAAAAGUUUGUAAAUCGCAUGUGAUUUGGAUAUAUAACAGCAUAUAAAAGAGUUCUUUAUGUAACACACGAUAAUACUCGUGUGUUUUACUUGUAAUCCCCCCCUUGAAAGCAUAUAAAAGAAUUUAUAGAAUAUUUAAAAGGUAAAUUAAGGGGUAUGAACUCACUUGAAAGUUUGAAGAUAGCGAGAUGGAAAACCGGGCAGAGUUUCGUCUCGGGAAACGGAUUUUCCUCGGGAUUCUCGGGAAUCUCGGGAGUAAAAUCGACCCUCGGGACUUGAGCAAAAAGACCAGAGCUUCGGGUUUGAACGGGCACGGAAAACGAGGCAAGAUUGUGAGAGAGAGGAGAGAAAUGAGCCCUUUUCUCGGAAGCCCUCGCAUCCUAUUUAUAGGAAGGCUGAACUGCCUCGGUACGCGGGGCGUACGCUCGUACGCAGCGCGUACGCGUACGUCAUGCAUGACCGAAGCCUCGACUGCCUCGGCUUCGGAUGGGACGGGUCAGUGGGGAGGCGGGUCGGAGGGGACGGCGGGUCGGAUGGGACAGCGGGUCGGACGGGUCGGUCGGACGGACGGGUCGGACGGGUCGGAAGCCUCGGAUAGGGCGACGUGGACGAUCAGAGGCCAAGUCUCUCGGGUACGCAGGGCGUACAGGGGUACGCAGCGCGUACCUCAGAUGAGGACGCUGACUCCUCUUCGGAUAAGGUCCGAAUUUUGAAUUAAAUAAAUAUAUGAUUUAUUUAAUACACUUCAAAAAUUUAUAUCUUCUUUAUACGAACUCCGUUUUCGAUGGUCUUUAUAUCCACGCGUAGGUGAGACUACGCUCUACAACUUUCGUUUAGACUCCGUCGGCAAAUUCCGAAAUUAUUUUUUUAUUAUUUAUAUUAAACUCAUCGUGUUUAAGGAAUUUCUUUG
rnacentral:lncRNA from 1 species